AAAAGGGGGCAGCAUCAUCAAAGCUUGCUUUGAUGGAUGGCGACCGGCGCACGGGUGAGUAACACGUAUCCCACCUGCCGACAACACUGGGAUAGCCUUUCGAAAGAAAGAUUAAUACCGGAUGGUAUAGUUUUCCCGCAUGGGGUGACUAUUAAAGAAUUUCGGUUGUCGAUGGGGAUGCGUUCCAUUAGGCAGUUGGCGGGGUAACGGCCCACCAAACCAACGAUGGAUAGGGGUUCUGAGAGGAAGGUCCCCCACAUUGGAACUGAGACACGGUCCAAACUCCUACGGGAGGCAGCAGUGAGGAAUAUUGGUCAAUGGACGAGAGUCUGAACCAGCCAAGUAGCGUGAAGGAUGACUGCCCUAUGGGUUGUAAACUUCUUUUAUACGGGAAUAAAGUGAGCCACGUGUGGCUUUUUGUAUGUACCGUAUGAAUAAGGAUCGGCUAACUCCGUGCCAGCAGCCGCGGUAAUACGGAGGAUCCGAGCGUUAUCCGGAUUUAUUGGGUUUAAAGGGAGCGUAGGCGGGUUGUUAAGUCAGUUGUGAAAGUUUGCGGCUCAACCGUAAAAUUGCAGUUGAUACUGGCGACCUUGAGUGCAACAGAGGUAGGCGGAAUUCGUGGUGUAGCGGUGAAAUGCUUAGAUAUCACGAAGAACUCCGAUUG
rnacentral:rRNA from 1 species